AACAUUUUGCAGUCAUGAGGAUUUCUGUUUGUGCCAUCCAGCAUGGGAACAGGCAGGAGGACAGUUUGGUCCUGCUGCCCUUCUCAGUUUUUUUGGUGCUUGGUUUUACUUGGCUCCAGAGCAAUUCCCAAGGCCUCCGAGUGACCGCUCAGUGUCACAGCAUCCUCUUGGGUAUUUUCCUCCCACGUAUCCCCACACUUUGAGCAGUGAUGUGUGCUGGGGACACCCCGGUUGCCAUCAGAGCUAUUUUUGACCCCUGGACACUCAGGAACAGCACAGGGGGAGCUGCUCCCCUGCCUCUGCCAGCCAUAACUCCGGUGCUGCAAACCAAACCCCUGGGACAUCCCUGGGAGCCAUAUGGUGUCUCUGAGGCUUUGAUCAAGUUGAAUGAAACCCAAAGCAGCCAGGCAGGUUGGACUGUGAGCCACAGUGAGCCCGGGGGGGCCUGUCCUGCCCUUCUUGGAGCGUGCAGGCUGCCAGCCUGGGCGUUAAGAAGCACUUUGGUGUCUCUUGCCAGUGCCCAGUGGAGCUGCUGCUGAGAUCAGGGGGGAGGGGUUGCAUGUAAAGGAGGAUGGUUUUGUGGUCAGGUGAUACCACCUGACAGGGAACAGCAUCUCAGGCUGAUAUUUGAAAAAGCCAUCAGGCAGCAGGUGGGUGAGAGGAGCCUGAGAACACAGGGUGUUUGCUGUAAAUCUAAGCCAAAAAAGCUGUGAUUCAAACCUGUUCUCGGGGCCAAGACUGGUGCUGCCAAGUCACCAUGGAUUGCAUGAGAGCCCUGCUCCUUUUAGGUGAGGAUAAACAGUCCUGGAACACAUGGAGGAGAGGCAAAUGUGGGUCUAGCCUGCUGGGGUCCAUCAAAAAAAGUCCCAGUUCCACAGAGGCAAGAAAAAUUACUCAGGAGAAUUUCUUCUGGAUUUUACCUGGCACCUCUCUGUGGUACUUUGUGAUACUUUUGAGUUUGCUGUGGGAAAGUAAGCAGCUCAGGUUGGUUGAAUCUCAAACCUUAUAUUAAGCAUUUACUGUCUGGUCUCCAGGCAGAGCCAUAUUCCUGCUGCCAGCCAGACUCAGCCCUCAGCCCUGCCCUGGGGGACUGGGGGGGGUGUGAGCAGCGUCUCCCCCACUGGGAUGCACAGUCAGGAGGAGGGACUUGUGCCCUCCCACCUGGAGCUGUGGGGGCUGAAGGGACUCACUGAUUUCGGGGCCUGCCAGAAGGGACGAGGACCUUGUGCAAAAGGUGGAUGUUUAAUGUUACAAAGGCUUCUGGAGUCUUGCUCUAUAAUUCCAAUUAUAUAAAAAAAUCCAGAUUUCAGGGUUUACUCUAAAAGAAGUGCAGGGGUAGAGGGAUGAUGGUUUCUGACUGAUCAUGGAUUUAUUUUUUAAUUGUGUACCCACAAAGUGAUGUCAUGCGAAAAAAAUCUAACCCAUACAGAAACUCAUUUCAAAAUGAGUAACUGCAACAUUUUUUCAGUCAUUGUCUAAAAAGGCUAUUGCAAGAUUGCUGGGACUUCCCUUCUGCCCAGUAUGAUAUUCUGGUAUAAUUGAUGGGCCGUUUGGACUCUGAUAGUUUCUCAUGAAAACCCUCCUGACGCCUUGCAGAGCUACAAGAAGGUACGUAAGCUUUACUCCCCCACUUUCUCCCUCCCAGAAGGAGAAUGGGAACUGGAAAACUCCUCCAGUUUCUCAGCAGAGGGGCUGAGGCAAUGUGGUUCUGUAUAAAGCAGCUCUGGCCAUGGGCUCUCUCAGCAUUUUUAUCUGCUUUUUGGGCUGGAAAUCAUGACCUCAGCCACGGCCACAGGUGCUCUCUGGAACACUCUGCAAGGAAAUCUGUUUGAAUAGCAAUAGCAGAACUACUGGAAUAAUUUAUACAUCUGAACUAGCAAGGUGUUAAUCCGUCUCAGGGGCAAAACAAAAAUCCUGUGAAACUUCCAGGGUCUUUGCUUGGUUUUUCUGCACCUCAACAGGCUCUCAGGCUUGUGCUUGUGCUUGUGCAUCGCCGUGUGGAGAACACCCAGCACUGAGAGGCCAUUUCUGCUGAUAACAGAAAAGUUGGUGUUUGGUCCUGCUGUCAAUGGGCUUUAGCUUGGAGAGAAACCUCCACUAGUCAGCUGCUUUGUGGCAUUUUUACAGCAAAAUAAAAGAUGCCUGGAAUUAUUUGUUGGUCACCAAGCAAAUGUUUUACUGCUGAAAUGUUCCAGAGGCUGUUUACAGAGCCUUGACUGACAAAAGUGCAAAAAACUUACAACCCUCUACAUGCCCUGCCCUCCCAAGAGGCAAACCAUGCCCAAGGCUGGGAUGGGAGAUGGAGAUGAUGGAGAUGAAUCUAAAGCUGAAGGUAGAGAUGGAGCCACCUCCUGCAAAAGCCGCAGGGGUCACCCAGGGCUGAAACUGGGGAGAAGCUCAUUUGUUAUGCAAAUGUCUACUUGAGCCUGGCUGUAUACAGUGGAAAGCUCUUGAAUUAUUUUAAGCAGAGGACAAAAGUUCUCUCCCUCCCCCUAUCAUCUUGGAUCCUUGCAGAAACAAAACAAAACAGAAACCUCUGUGUGAACCAUCUGACAAUGAUCAGUACUUGGCUUUCCUGGCAAGAGCAGGGCGUACACAGGCACAUGGAAACAGAGCAAUUAAGGAAAAAAACGGUAUUGGAAGCAGCCGGGCUUUAUUUCGUCUUGAUGACAGCAUGAACUGAUCAUCCUCCAGCCUUAUCUCUGUGGGCUUGCCGAGCACAGGAUGUUGCAGGGGCUGGGGGGCUCUCCCUGGGUGACCCACAGCUCCCCCCGCUGCCUAUCUGAGGCUGAGGGCUGAGGCUCAGCCCUGGCUCUCUGGGCAAGGAGGGGAGCAAGAGUGGUUAUUUUGGAAGCAGGAAGCACUUUCAGGCCAAAAGUUCAGGCUGGCAGCCUGGUUCAUACAGAGAAGGCACCCGUGCGAGGUUCCUGUGCCAGUGCUGAGCUCCCCGGCCGCCCGUUCCCGACCACGGCACUGGCCACGGCUUUGCAUGAGCAGAUGUGCAUUUCACACUGCUCAGAAAAUCCUGUCAGCAUUUACAUAGAAUUGAGGGGUGCAGAGGGGACAAAGCUGAGCCUUUCCCACGCGGGUGGUGAUGCCACGCUGCCACACGCUGCCAUUCCCGCGGGGAGUGCGGCUAAACCUGUGCCAUGUGCUCCUGCAGCACAGGCUGUGCGAGGCAGCAGCACUGCCUGUGCUCUGCCCACAUGGAGCUGCAGCAAAAACUUGUUUUCCAGACAGGUUGUGUCUCUCCAGAGUGGUUUUCCACUGAGUCAAGCUCUCCCCUGACCUCAGCAUCCCUGUGCCCCCACACCAUGAGAAAGCCCAAUGGGCAGCUGAGCUCUGGCAUGCAGGGGGCUGGUUAAGCUGGGGUGAAUCAGCUUUUAAAAAAGGUGUGGGGUUCAGACAAGCCAUUGCCCUGUGCUAGAGAGAUUCCUGCUGGUUCUGCAGCCCUGUGGUCAAAUGGGAGUGCAGCACAAAGCCCCUUCCUACAGGGCUGCCUGGCUGCCUCGCUGGGCAGCUGCUGGUGCUGGCAUGACCCAGCUGCUGACAGGGAAACCUGGAUUUUUCCACACAACAAAUGUCACACAGGGUCAAUUCCACUGAUUCCUGCAUGGGGCUUCCCCACAGUCCCAAACACGUCAGGGAGCUGCUGAGCUGUGCUGCUCCUGCCCCAAAACAUGUGGGUCCCUCGGGCUUUGCUAGUGCUGCUGAGGGAGGUCAGCGAGGCCACAGAGGCUGGGGAAAACCCUCCACAAGCCCAAACAACCCCCCAAAAGCCCCAUUCAGCCCGCAGAGUGGAGUUCAAGUCAAUGUGGGAGAGCGUUGUCUCCUCAGCUCAGGGCCAGCUUGCACCCCAGGGUCCCUGGGUGCAGGUGACAUCCCUGAGAGCUCAGAACUCGCCUGUCCUCAGCCUGGCUCUCUCCUGUAGCACACAGGGGAACCAGAGGCACUUGGCCAUUCCCUGAGGCCCCGCCCUCACGUGUGUACCUUUUGUGGCAGGGGUUGAGCCGCUGUGCUGGCGGGUUCCUCGUCUCAUGCCACCAUCCUGCCUUGCUGACACCCAUCCUGUGGGAGCCUGUGGGGCAUGGCAGAGGAAGCAGCAUGUGCCUCUGGGAGGUUGGACAAAGCCCCCACCAUCAUGGGGGCAAAAAUACUCAUUCAAGGGCCAUGAGCUAAUUGGAGUGAGCUCAGCUGCUUUUACUACUCAUAAAUGAAAAAAAAUUAGUAUCAUGAAUAAAAAAAUGAGCCUGGUGUGCCAUGACAGCCCAUACUCGGACCUGAACUGACCAACCAAGACUGAAGGUGACAUUGAGCUGGGAAGAGUCAUGACCAUCUCCCAACUGCAGGUGAGAGCUGUGUCUCUGUGGUGACUGCAGGGCAGAGCAAAUGGCAAGAUUUUCCUUGGCAUGGCCGGGUGAUGCCAGCAGGACUUUCCCAGUAAUCCCAACAGGGCCACCUGCCACCAGCCACGUGUGAGCUGGGUGCAGGAAGGACCUGGGGUUUGUGGUGUGGUAGCACCUGGGCCAUGUUUUCCUCUCUGUAUAAAAUGCUUCAUUUCCUUGCAGUGCAAUGUCUGCGCUGCAAAGUCUCCACUGCAAUUCUUCAACACUUAAAAGCAGUUGCUCUCAUGGGCAUUUUUACAUUUGUUGGAAAAAUUUGUGUGGGCAUUAGAAUGUUUGUUUUUUCUGAUGACUAUUUUUAAUCUCAUUUUUCAUAAAAAAAAAUUGAGAUAGAUAUGAAUUGAAACUGUGCCUUUAAAUAUGACGUGAUAUUGGCUGCCCAAAACUAAACACAAAAUAAGGGAGAGUUGGAGCAUGUGCCUAAGAGCUGGGAAAGGCUAAAGCUUUGUGUGCCACUCACUUGGCAGCACUGUGAGAGCCCAGGGACCAUGGCCAGGGCAUGGCACUGCCCAGUUGGCACCAGAGGGGUUAAAGAAGCGGGUUCACCCUGCAAGGAGCUGGAGCUGAAAUGGGCCUUUCCAGGAGAAGGUGCUGGCACCAGCUCCCCCAGUCUUCCCCUGGGCAGCACUGGGAGUGGGGAAUGGCAAAGGCAGUGAGGGGGUGGUUCAUGUUUAUUCCCCAUUGGUUUCCAGUGUUGGAGAGGAGCUGUGCAGGGAACUGUGCCCUCCCCCAGCUCCCUGGCCCGUCUCUGGGGCUCUCUGCUUUUGUUCCCUUGCUGGGGACUUGGCCAAGUGGUGUUUGGUUGGAGCCAAAGGCUCAGAGAGACUGAGCAGGCUUGGUGCUCCCUUGCAGCAAGCCAAGGAUGGGGAUGGGGGGCCCUGCAGAGGGGGCGUGUGGGACUGCGGGCACCCCAAAAGCAGAGGCAGAGUCUUUCCCACAGUACUGGCAGUGCCAUGUCAUGCUCAGUGCCAUGUUGCCCAGGGACCCUGAUACUCCAGGACAGGAGCAGCUCUGCACGUGUCCUGCUUUGUAUUUCAGGAACCCAGCCUUCCCCCAGGAAUGUUCACGGCUGAAGCCGGGGAGGGAGGACAGAGGACGGUGGCAUGUGGGAAAUGCGGUGGCACAGACCCUGAUGAAUGUCAUGGGGGAUUGAUCAGAUGAUGAUGCUGCUGCCUCCUGUAGUCUCUUUUCCCCAUGGUUGUGUCCCAGGAACACAGGGCAUCACGUGCACAGGCAAGUAAGUGGCCCAGGAUGUGUGCCCUGGGAUUGCCACCACCACCAGCUCCCACUGGCUCCCAGGGGAGGGUGAGGGAGUGCUGGUCUGGGAUGGAACACCACAGACAAGCGCUCCUGAGGUGAGGAGGUGCAACUCUGCAAACACUCAAACCGACAGCAGCACCCCCACUGCUGCGAGCUGAGGGUUCGUGUGAGUUAUCACCCUUGUCCUCUGGGCUGCUGGGGCUGGAGACUAGGGAGCUGCUCCUUAUCAGCCCCCGGCCCCGCACCCGUGGGGCUCCCCUUUCAGUCUUACUCACUGGAGAAAUGAGUAAGCCUGUUGGAACCACCAUGCUGGGACCUCUAAGCGGGCACAGGCUUGGUGGGUUGGGGUGAGGGUUUUUUAAAGCAUCUCAGCACAUUGCCCUGCAGCAUCCAGGACAUGCUGCAGACACCCAUGGGAGCUGGGGCUGUGCUGGAGCUCGGGGCCUUGCACAUACAGAGCUCAGCAUGUCUGAUGAGGAUGGAAAGAGUUAACUCUGUGUGUGUGCAUGUGCAUGUGUGUGCAUAAGAGGAGAGGGGAAAUCCAAGGCCCUCACUGUUCCCAAAAUCUGCAGUGCCUCAGUUGCACAGAGACCCCACACCUGUCCCCAAACCCACUGCCUGUGCACAGAACUCUUGGCCCAAUCUCUGAACAUGGGCCCAACUCCUGUGUGUAUCCAUUCCUUCAUCCCUCCCUCCCUUUCUCCCUCCCUCCCUCCCUCUAUUCCUCCCUCCAUUCAUCCAUCCAUCCAUCGGGCUGAGCAGGUCUCAGCCCCAGCCUCCUGCAGCACCACACUGGGAUGUUCUGCACAGCAACCAUUUCUAGCAGUUUAUUCAACAGCUACAAGAAAAUAUUCCUGCAUUCUUCAGCUUCCCUAGGCACAUGACCCAGACAGUGGGUAUAAACAUUUGGAUUCAAUUUAUUGGAUUCAAUUUAUUCUCCUUCCUGCAGGCUCUGUCUCGGCUGGCAACUGCAGAGCAGUGCUGGGGCUGGGGCUGCUCCCUGCCCACGGGACAGGGGCCGGGGCAGGUGCUGGCAGUGCCCUGGCAGCCUUUUACCCAACUCGAUGGGAUAUUUUUAAUAUUUUUUUCCAUUCAAGCCCAUACAGAGCUGCUGGCAGGCCUGGUGCUUUCAUCCAGAUUGCAGAUGCCCAAAAUAUCUGUGUUCUGGACUGAGCAGACUGAGGCUGAAGUGCCCAUGGUUGGCUGAUUGAAGAGAACAUAUGGGAAUGCAGAAAGACAGACAGACAGAGACAGACACCCACAGGCAAAGUGCCUGAGCGUGUAUGGCAGCAGUGGGCAAGAGGAUGGGGGAUGCCCUGGACUGUGAGUGCCCAUCUCCAGCCAUGGCUCUCACAUCACCAUAGGAUCUUUUUACUGUUUUUCCCAGCCCUCUGAAACCUGAGCUCAGUCCAGGACAUGGUUUUGCCCCAGGCGAGCUCGUGCUACCAGCCAUUAAAUUUUGUUGCACUGCUGUUAUGUUAUGCUCCUCAAUUUAAAUUAUCUUCCAAUCUGCAAUUCACCUGGCAUCUUCAGCAGCCAGGAUUUGUGAAAUAAAAGUUAAAAUAGCAGUUGAAAUAAGGCAUUCAUAUGUAUUCUUUCACACACACAUAUAUACGAAUGCACACGGCUAUUGAUAAAAAACUUGUGUUUGUUCAUAGAUACAUGUUUCUAAUCAGAUUUAUAAUGUAUGUAAUAUAAAUGUUUUUGUACACAUAAAAUUCACUUGAAAAAGGAAACCAGAUUGGUUUACCUUACUAAUGUGGCAUGAAAUAUAGAGUAGUGUACGCUGUUGAAAAUAAGGUAGGAUGUGGGUUUUGGAUGGUUUUUCUUCCCCUGAGGGCUUGUUCUACUGUGUUUUUGUCUAAAACCUGCUAAUUUUAAAGCCAGCUGAUGGAAAACUAAUGGUACGAUCUAUUUAUUUCAUUUCACUUUCAUUUUGCACAGCUCAAGCUUUGUUUAACGUGCUCACAUGUCAGCAGCUCAUGCAAACACAGCAGCUGAUGCUACCAGAGACCGCAAACGGCUGUCGCUGACCACCCCCCCCGUGUUUAUCCAGAGGUAGAGAUUGAAUGGGAGCCACUCAAGUGAGCUGAGUCUGAUUUUAAAAGAUCUUUUGGGUGUUAAACAUGUAAUAAGAUGCUCAGUGCUAUUUUCAAACCAAGACAUAUUCCUGGCUGAUUUACAAAAGGCCAUGGUCUCCAGCUUUAUGUGGCUCCUGGGAUUUUGGGGUCUCAUCGAUUCAAUUCCUGACAACAAUCUCUGACUUCUCCAUCUCUGUGUCUCCAUCUCUAACCUUUCCAUCACUAACCUUUCCAUCUCCAACAGCUUCAUCACCGCUAUCAGCCUCCUGAGCACAGACACAGCUAAUAAAUCUGAGUCUUUAAUUGCCCUUGCACACCGCGUGCCCUUAUCUGAGCCAUCGUCCCUGUUGCUGUGCCCUGUCACACCUCUGUGUUUCCAGGUUUGUGCUACUGGAGUCAGCAAAAGGAUAAAACAAGUUAUUUGGGUCUGGUUUUAGGUACAAAUCCCCCCAGUAACACAGUCCUGCUUGCAUGGUCCCACACAGUGCAUCUGACAAGGCCGAGGGGGCUUUGCAAAUUUACAAAUCCUCUGCUUUUACCUCAUGCAAGGUCCCACUUUUUGAUUAUUUAUGCAGCUAAAACUAAGCAAAAAUUUGUGGAGGUAAAAAAACCCAACAACCCAGCAUAAAUUCCCUUGCUAAGGACAUCAGUAAGGGUGGAGGGGGCUGCUGCCCCGGGGUGUGGGUGCUGGGACAGCUGAUGCUGGAGAAGCCGGGAUCACCAUUUACAGCUGUUUGUUAUUCGGGUCACAAGAAGACCCAAUGCCUCUGGUACCCAAGGGAGAUUUCUUUAUUCCCCCAAUUUAUCCCCCCCCCUUCAGGAGGUUUCCCGCAGCCCUCCAGGAGAGGGGCCGGCACGGGCACAGCUGUAUCAGCAGCCGCAGGUCUAUCGGGCUGAGCAGAAGCUUUUCCAGGAACUAUCUAGUGAAACACAUGACCCUGCCCGGGAGAUACGUGACAGGCAUUCACCGGGCUCCCGGCGAGUCAGUUGACUUUGUUAUUCAAACUAUUUUAGUGAUGGUUUUUAAUCCCAGGCUUAAGUUUUUCUUUUUCUAUUUUUCUUCCCCCCCCCCCCCCCCCUUUCUUUUUUUACUCUCUGAACAAGGGAAUCUCUAUGCUGGCAGGAUUCAGAGAGGCACAAAGGAGGGAAAAACAAGUUUCAGCCAGAAGAGAGAGAAAAAAAAGAAAGGGAUGCUGUUAGCAUUCCCUGUAUGCGAGGGGGUAAAAACAUUUUGCUAUGAACUCUAUUUUAAAGGGCAAGUGCCAACAGCAGCCCAGUUACUAUGCAAAUAAAUCCUGUGCUCAGCCUUUUCCUCUCAGCUGUAAAGGUUUGGUACUGGGGCUGUGGGAGCUGGGCCAUGGGGGCUGGCAGUGCCCAUUGUGCCCUGGCAGUGCCCCCAGUGCUCCCUCUUGGGGAUGGCCACUGGUUGGGGGUGCCACUUCAAAGCUCUAGAACUUGAUGGGAGUCCUUGGGGCUCCCCAGGUGUCACCAGAUAACAUGGGGCAGCGGGGGUAGUGCUGGGUAACCCCUGCUCCUCACCAUGAGCAGGUUCAGGCAGCUGCUGGCAGCAGAGCCCUCGGCUGUGCCUCUGUGAUAGAGGACACACCAGGGAGAGGGAGUGCCUGAGAAGGGCAGAAAUCUCACCCUAGCCAUCCCCUUCCCACAGUGGGCAGGUGGGGAGGGUCUGGCACCAGCCAAAGCUCCUCAGGCAGUCUGGGUAUACAGGGCUCGCUGCUGUGGGGUGAGAAGGGAGGGCAUGCCGGGAGAUGAUGCCGGACUGUGGCUGGGCUGGUCCAGAUGGUGACCAGGACCCCAGCCCCAGUAUUUAUGGUGAUAUUUCCUCAUGACAGCAGAGGGGCUGCACAUGCUCUAGCCCAUGCAAGCCAAAGCUUGCCUGACAGCUCUGGUGUGAUAGUUUCCUAUAAAAAAUAUUUGAAUUUGUCAUGGAAAUGACUCAGCAUGUGGGCACAGCUGGUGGGAGGUGGCCCGGGCUGUGUCAGCCACCAGCAUGGCCAUGGGGAUGUGCCCAGGACAAGGUCUGGCCCCACAAGGCCAGUCCCACCCCCAAAACCUGUGCCAAGCAGAUGGUGCUGCUGGCAGUGCCCUGCCAAAACCACCCAGCCCUCGCCACUCCUUCCCACAUCCCUGUGGCUGCACGUUGUUGCACCAAAGUUCUUAAAACAAGCACUGUGACCCCCCAGCUCGUGCCAUCCCUUGGCUUCUGUCUGGCUGCAGCAGAGCCGAGGUGCCUGGGGUGAACUUCUUUCAUGCCAGGACAACAUAAGGCAGGCACAUGGUGCAGGUGAAAGAGGAUGAUCCAUCAAGCAAUGCAUAAAAAAAAAAAGAAAAAAAAUUACACCUUUAAGCAAUUUCAAAGUGAUUUAAGCACUUGCCUUGUGCUACCCUUACCAGUCAGGAGCCAGGCAGUCACCACCUCUCAUCCACACCCCACUGCUCAUACACUGCGUUUAACUCAGCUAACUGUUAACACAGAGACCCUUUGAGCUCUUCCCACUUUCCCAGCGUAGCACCGGGACAAGGAAGUGCUUGGGCUCCUUUUUAGGAGCCACAGCCUUCCCUCACCACCUGCCACAGCCCCUCUCCCACCCGGUGGAGCUCAUUAAUCUGCCCGGCCGCACUUUGGCAGUCGGGUUCUCGCACACAGGAAGGCGGCAGGUUGGGCUGUUGUUUUGAUGUGGCCGUUUCUCGAGAUGAGCCCGGAGCAAAAGUGAGCGGGAUCCAGGAACGGCAUUCGGCAGUGGCAGGCUGGGUGCUGGUAGCGCCCUCACUUCCUGGCAGUUUGGCCACCGUUCAGGAAAUUAGACAGCUAAAUGGAAAAUCAUCACUCUUUGCACUUCAGACUGCACUGCACACAUGGUUUUUUUCAACAGCAAAUUGAUUUUCAGCAGCUUUGGUGUGUCCCUAUUGACUGGGGGAGAUGUGGGUCCCCAGUGAAGGCAAAAGCUGAUGUUCAGCAGUGCCAGGCACCCCUGCCUGAGGACGGGCACCCCAACGCUGCUGGGCUGGGGCCAAGUGCUCGCCAGUGGCUCCCAGCACCUCCACCCAGCUCCAAAAUCCUCCCAUCCCUCUUCUUCAGAAAGAUUUAUGACAGGGAGGAAGAAGAAUUGCUGAAUAAUCUCCAGCCCCAAUAGCACUUCAAAGGCAGGUCUCGGGCCAGGCUGAGCUCCCCGCCAGCACCGCGCUGGAUGCGGCGCUCAGCUCUUACUCCUUUGGCAGCCCCAGAGCAAAUCCAGAAAGUAAUUACUUAAAAAGGAAAUAAAUGUCACCCAUAUGGUUGUAAGCAAAACCCUGGGCAGGAUGGACAGAGCCCCAUCAGGAUCUGCAUUCUCAUGCAAUACAAGCAAGGGAGGAAUGAGCUGUUUCCAUUCAUCCAGAUGGGCUGUUUACUCUGAGGCCCACUGAUGACAUUAGACAUGCCCACCGUGUGCCUUCCAGUUCACCAGGGUGGUUGAUCAAAAACAAUGCUGAACUGCCUCUGCUUUCAUCCUAUGGCACCCUCUUCCCCUAGGAUGGCUUUAGGCACCAUCACCUUUAACAGCAGCAUGCGCUGGUGCCAAAGACAUGACACUUCCUGGCACCAGUCCUGCCCUGACCUUCACAGACAUGAACCAGAUAACUGGCGUGAUCAAAUAGAAUAAUUUUAUUUACUUCUAAAAACUGAUUCUUGAAGUUUUGUAAUUGUGAAAAUCUGAAAACCAAGUUGGUUGGGAAAGUCCAAUGCAGCCACCUCACUAAGGCAAAGGAGGCUCAGGGAUGUGAGCACCCUGCCAGUCUCACUGCUGCUGCACCUGCCUCAGCAUCAGAGAGGCCUUCAGCAACCCAUCCUUAACAAGGCUUUGGCAGACCACUCACUUUUGGAUAAAUUCAGCUUUGGAAAACAACUCUUAGACUGAACAAUUAGGAAGGUGGUGUUCUGAGGAUUAUGGGGUGUGAUCUGACCCCAGCUGUCCCUGCUUCUACUGGAGCUGCACCAGGAUGGCAGCACUUCCCACCCUCUGCUCUGCACAGUGAGAAAGUGCCCCAUACCAGCACUGGGGACCCACAGCUCUGUGAGCUCAAAAACCCUGAGGUGACUUGGGACAGGCAGAGCAAGUAAGGGCGCAUGAGACACACUGCAGGGACAGUGGCACCCAGGCAGUGCCUGUCAGGAUGCCAGCAGGGGCUCUUGCCCCAGGACACACACUCCUGGCCUACUCCAGCACACUCAUGGUGAAGGCCCAGUGUAGCCAGAUCAGGUCAGUUGGGAAGUACUCCCUAAUGCACUUCAGCCAAGCAAACAUGGUAUCAUAGAGCACUGAGUAAUUUUAAAAGUUAAAAUAGUUUAUUGCUGUCUUUGUAGAAAUGCACUUAACUUACAUCGCCUGUUCUCUUCCUUUAUUUGGCUGUUGGAUUACAGGCAUAAAAAGGUUACAUUUACCCAUUUGUUCAGUGACAUAACACCUUUUUCCUCUUUUGCUCCACUCUUCUAAAACUCGCUGGCCAACAGCCCCAAAUCUCUUUUACAUAAAUACUGUAAAUGUCUCCAUAGGUUGCAGCAUUGUAACAAAAGAUCUACCAAAGUAGACAAAAUGUUCAGUAUUCUUGGUUGGUU